AAACCUAUUUCUUCUCUUCUCUCAUUUCUUCAUCUUUUUCUCUUUGUUAGUUAAUGUUAAGAUGAUGAAAGCAAAAGAAAAAGUGAGUAAUGAGGCUGCUACCAAACCUUCAAUUGUCUCUAUUACUCAAUCUCCAACAUUGUCAAGCCUACCAUCAAGAAAUAUGUUUAAAUUUAGUCCAUGUACUUAAAAAAUUAAAGAAUUAAGUCUUCCUACUUUUGUAUUUGGGACAAGGAUUUCAUCAAGAAAGUCCAGGUUCUACCCAGAAAGGAAAUGGGAUUUUUUAGAUUUUCCCCCUGUUAGUUCAGUCGGAGGUCACAAGCCUCGACCCGUCAUCGCUGAUGAGGUCUCCUCGACGUCUAGUCAACUCGCAGGUCAGAAUCUCCAUCUUCAUGACUCAAGCUCAAUCCACUUGUCUCCAAUGUCGCCUUAUUGAGCACCCAUCACUUUGCCUUCCCUUUCCCAUCUUAUCUUCUACGUUUCAGUGGCCUAGACCUUGAGGUGCAUCAAUGGGUUCAAGUACCAGAGAUGGUGCCACAAGUUGACUCUUGGCCUGCCUAUUGAUAAGGUUAGAG
rnacentral:lncRNA from 1 species